rnacentral:rRNA from 1 species
CCUACGGGUGGCUGCAGUGGGGAAUAUUGGACAAUGGGCGAAAGCCUGAUCCAGCCAUGCCGCGUGUGUGAAGAAGGCCUUCGGGUUGUAAAGCACUUUCAGUGGGGAAGAAAGCCUUGGGGCUAAUACCCUCGAGGAAGGACAUCACCCACAGAAGAAGCACCGGCUAACUCCGUGCCAGCAGCCGCGGUAAUACGGAGGGUGCGAGCGUUAAUCGGAAUUACUGGGCGUAAAGCGCGAGUAGGCGGUCUGAUAAGCCGGUUGUGAAAGCCCCGGGCUCAACCUGGGAACGGCAUCCGGAACUGUCAGGCUAGAGUGCAGGAGAGGAAGGUAGAAUUCCCGGUGUAGCGGUGAAAUGCGUAGAGAUCGGGAGGAAUACCAGUGGCGAAGGCGGCCUUCUGGACUGACACUGACGCUGAGGUGCGAAAGCGUGGGUAGCAAACAGGAUUAGAUACCCCAGUAGUC